CCUACGGGAGGCAGCAGUAGGGAAUCUUCCGCAAUGGACGAAAGUCUGACGGAGCAACGCCGCGUGAACGAUGAAGGCCUUCGGGUCGUAAAGUUCUGUUGUUAGGGAAGAACAAGUGCUAGUUAAAUAAGCUGGCACCUUGACGGUACCUAACCAGAAAGCCACGGCUAACUACGUGCCAGCAGCCGCGGUAAUACGUAGGUGGCAAGCGUUGUCCGGAAUUAUUGGGCGUAAAGCGCGCGCAGGCGGUUUCUUAAGUCUGAUGUGAAAGCCCCCGGCUCAACCGGGGAGGGUCAUUGGAAACUGGGAAACUUGAGUGCAGAAGAGGAAAGUGGAAUUCCAAGUGUAGCGGUGAAAUGCGUAGAGAUUUGGAGGAACACCAGUGGCGAAGGCGACUUUCUGGUCUGUAACUGACGCUGAGGCGCGAAAGCGUGGGGAGCAAACAGGAUUAGAUACCCUGGUAGUCCACGCUGUAAACGAUGAGUGCUAAGUGUUAGAGGGUUUCCGCCCUUUAGUGCUGAAGUUAACGCAUUAAGCACUCCGCCUGGGGAUACGGUCGCAAGACNGAACACAAGAGUAGUAGACGNGNGAGAGCGACGACGACGACGACGGAGGAGGAG
rnacentral:rRNA from 1 species